GAAUGGGUUUUCAUUGUUGGUAAAUGGAGCUGAGCUGUAAACUCAGUGGUUUACACCUUCAUGGGUUCGAUUCCCUUCUCAUUCA
rnacentral:tRNA from 1 species